rnacentral:rRNA from 1 species
UAAUGAGAGUUUGAUCCUGGCUCAGGACGAACGCUGGCGGCGUGCCUAAUACAUGCAAGUAGAACGCUGAAGAGAGGAGCUUGCUCUUCUUGGAUGAGUUGCGAACGGGUGAGUAACGCGUAGGUAACCUGCCUUGUAGCGGGGGAUAACUAUUGGAAACGAUAGCUAAUACCGCAUAACAAUGGAUGACACAUGUCAUUUAUUUGAAAGGGGCAAUUGCUCCACUACAAGAUGGACCUGCGUUGUAUUAGCUAGUAGGUGAGGUAACGGCUCACCUAGGCGACGAUACAUAGCCGACCUGAGAGGGUGAUCGGCCACACUGGGACUGAGACACGGCCCAGACUCCUACGGGAGGCAGCAGUAGGGAAUCUUCGGCAAUGGGGGCAACCCUGACCGAGCAACGCCGCGUGAGUGAAGAAGGUUUUCGGAUCGUAAAGCUCUGUUGUAAGUCAAGAACGAGUGUGAGAGUGGAAAGUUCACACUGUGACGGUAGCUUACCAGAAAGGGACGGCUAACUACGUGCCAGCAGCCGCGGUAAUACGUAGGUCCCGAGCGUUGUCCGGAUUUAUUGGGCGUAAAGCGAGCGCAGGCGGUUUGAUAAGUCUGAAGUUAAAGGCUGUGGCUCAACCAUAGUUCGCUUUGGAAACUGUCAAACUUGAGUGCAGAAGGGGGAGAGUGGAAUUCCAUGUGUAGCGGUGAAAUGCGUAGAUAUAUGGAGGAACACCGGUGGCGAAAGCGGCUCUCUGGUCUGUAACUGACGCUGAGGCUCGAAAGCGUGGGGAGCGAACAGGAUUAGAUACCCUGGUAGUCCACGCCGUAAACGAUGAGUGCUAGGUGUUGGAUCCUUUCCGGGAUUCAGUGCCGCAGCUAACGCAUUAAGCACUCCGCCUGGGGAGUACGACCGCAAGGUUGAAACUCAAAGGAAUUGACGGGGGCCCGCACAAGCGGUGGAGCAUGUGGUUUAAUUCGAAGCAACGCGAAGAACCUUACCAGGUCUUGACAUCCCGAUGCUAUUUCUAGAGAUAGAAAGUUACUUCGGUACAUCGGUGACAGGUGGUGCAUGGUUGUCGUCAGCUCGUGUCGUGAGAUGUUGGGUUAAGUCCCGCAACGAGCGCAACCCCUAUUGUUAGUUGCCAUCAUUCAGUUGGGCACUCUAGCGAGACUGCCGGUAAUAAACCGGAGGAAGGUGGGGAUGACGUCAAAUCAUCAUGCCCCUUAUGACCUGGGCUACACACGUGCUACAAUGGUUGGUACAACGAGUUGCGAGUCGGUGACGGCAAGCUAAUCUCUUAAAGCCAAUCUCAGUUCGGAUUGUAGGCUGCAACUCGCCUACAUGAAGUCGGAAUCGCUAGUAAUCGCGGAUCAGCACGCCGCGGUGAAUACGUUCCCGGGCCCUUGUACACACCGCCCGUCACACCACGAGAGUUUGUAACACCCGAAGUCGGUGAGGUAACCUUUUGGAGCCAGCCGCCUAAGGUGGGAUAGAUGAUUGGGGUGAAGUCGUAACAAGGUAGCCGUAUCGGAAGGUGCGGCUGGAUCACCUCCUU